CCCUUAGAUGUUCUGGGCCGCACGCGUGCUACACUGAUGCAUUCAACGAGUCUAAAACCUGGUCUGAUAGGGCUGGGUAAUCUUUUGAAAGUGCAUCGUGAUUGGGAUAGAUGAUUGCAAUUCUUCAUCUUCAACGAGGAAUGCCUAGUAAACGCAAGUCAUCAGCUUGCAUUGAUUACGUCCCUGCCCUUUGUACACACCGCCCGUCGCUCCUACCGAUUGAAUGAUCCGAUGAAUAUCAUGGGUUGAGAGUACGAAUGGGUUCGCUCAUUUCUGCUGCUCGAGAAGUGAAGUAAAUCUCAUCAUUUAGAGGAAGGAGAAGUCGUAACA
rnacentral:rRNA from 1 species